rnacentral:rRNA from 1 species
UACGGAGGGUGCAAGCGUUAUCCGGAUUUACUGGGCUUAAAGGGUGCGUAGGUGGGUCUGUAAGUCAGUGGUGAAAUCUCCGGGCUUAACCCGGAAACUGCCAUUGAUACUAUAGAUCUUGAAUAUCCUGGAGGUGAGCGGAAUAUGUCAUGUAGCGGUGAAAUGCUUAGAUAUGACAUAGAACACCAAUUGCGAAGGCAGCUCACUACGGGAUCAUUGACACUGAGGCACGAAAGCGUGGGGAUCAAACAGG